rnacentral:ncRNA from 26 species
GUAAGGUUUGGGCAAGCGAGGUUUAAUACCUUCACAGUGCCGCUACCGUAAAGUCGGAAAACCACCUUACGCUGUUCCCGGGAUCAGGAAAGUUCGAUUAACCA